rnacentral:rRNA from 1 species
AAUAUAAAAUUAUAUAUAUUAUUAUAUUAUUAAUUAAUAUAAUUAAUAGGAACUAAGACAAAUCAUAAUGACCCUUAUAAUAUGGGCUAUAGACGUGCUAUAAUAAAAUAAAAAUCAAGUUAUAUAAUAUUAUAAUCAAUCAUAAUAUAAUAAAUAACAAAAAAUAUUUUAAUCUUUAAUAUAUUUAUAUAUUAUAUAUAAUAUGAAUUAUUAUCUGUAAUUCGAUAAUAUGAAAUAAGAAUUGUUAGUAAUACAUAAAUUAGUAUGUUAUGGUGAAUAUUAUAACUAUUUCGCACUAAUCACUCAUCACGCGUUAAAAAAUAUUGUUAUCUAAAUAUAUAUCAAAUUUAUAUAAAUAUUAAUUAUUUAUAUAUAUUAAAUAUAUAAAAGAAAUUAUAUUAAUUAAUGCGAAGUUG